ensembl:lncRNA
GUUUGGAGAGCUCAGAUGGCCCUCUCACUCGGCCCUGAGGAAAAGGACACUGUGGCCACGGCUUCUAAUCUCCCAGAGACGCAACUGGUCAUCAACCUGCUCUGUUCUUUGUCCGAUCCACCAAACCACCCUUAAGAGGAAUAAAGGAUCAACAGUUCUCGAGUUGUCCUUUGCGUCCACCGGAGAGAAAGCUCUUUCAAGUUUGGGCAGAGCCGUGGUUAAUCAGGAAAAACACACGAAACUUGACAGUAGUAAGAACUAUAUAUUGUCCUUUUAACUGAAAGACACCACUGCAAUUGCUGAUUAUGGACUGUCUACUUUAAAUGACCGCACAGUCCAGAUCAAAGGAGGCUUAUGAGGAGCAGAUGGGCGGGGCCUGAGCUCUUCAUGCAGAGAUCGCCACUGCCUCGAGGAUCCCCAGAAGUGGUCAAGCAGUUUCAGCCUCCUGUGACAGUAGAAAUUACCAGCAGUCUUGAGUGAACGGUAGGACUUUUUUCAGGUCUAAUAAAACGUUCUCUUGCCAACCGUCAAGAGCCUGACUGUUGCAUAAUGUGUUAACUGAAUCUUCUAAUAUGUAGUUGUAUGUCCUGAACUAUGCCACCCUCUUUAAUUGCUUCAUUUAAUAUUUGCAGUUUCCCUGUAUGUGCAAAAAUCUGCCAUCAGUGUUCGGAAAACAUUCCCGUUGGGUAAAGUAGUUCUGUGAUUCCACGCAGGACGGUCCAGAGAAGACCACAGAGUCCUGCCUCGGGGUCCUAGGAGUGGCCAAGUGAGUUCAGCCUGCUGUGAAAAUUGCCAGCGGAAUGAGUUGGAGGACGAUUCAGAGAACACAACAGGCUCCUGCUUCAGGGGCAAGCAGCUUUAGCCUCCUGUGGAAAUUGCCAACUUUGCGAUUUGAGUAACGGGUAAGACUUUUUUUUUUCCCAGUAAUGGUUAUCAUGCAGGCUGUGUGACAGGUCUAGAAAAGUGUUUGCAACUGUACGAUUGCAUAAUGUGUUAACUUGCGGUGCUUCUUGGCUUUGGUUGCAUGUCCUGAACUAUUCUGUUUUA